GCUGCAGGCAGGGCAGGCUCCAUGAGUGUUGGCCUGGUGGUCUCCAUUGAUGGACUCUGAACGGUUUUCCUUUGCAGCAGGAAAAAGCAGCAGCAGCAGGAGGAAGAGCAAGGGGCUGCCCUGGCCCUUUGCUCUGCAGCAGAGCCCGUCCACUGCCCAGGCUGCAGGGCAGGCGGGCUUCUGCUGCAGCAGGAUACUCUGGGCAGCCCCUGGCAGCGCUCUGCAGGGAGGAUGACCUAAUGCCCCACCCCAGCCAGGAGCGGCUGGAUGUCCUGCAGCGCCAAGGACCGGCUGAGAAGGGGAUACUCUGCAGAGCUGCCAGCAGGAUGGAGCUGUGGGAGGCUCUGGACCACAGCGAAGACCUGGACCUAGGAAGCCAGCCUGUGCUGCUCUUGGCUGUCAUCUGGAAGGGUUUGAGAUCCUCGUUGACCACCCCCUUCCCCACGUGGUGAAGUGUGUGCAGCUCGUGCCAGGUGUGAAAUGUGUUCACCUAAUUCGUGUUAAAAUGGAACAAUGUUAAGAGUCACAGGGUGAAGAAUAAUUUUUUUGUUUAACAUGGAACAAUGUUAAGAGUCAUAGAAUGAAGAAUAAUUCUUUGUGUAUAGUAUUGCACACUUUUGUACACAGUAAAAUUUUUAUCUCUGCUUGUGCUUCCUGUUUUUGUAUAGUGUAAAAAAAUUUUUAUCUUUUGCUUGCACUGCAUGUUGCUCUCGUAUUGUGUAUCCUCUGCUUGCAUUGCAUGUGAUUUUUCUAUUGUGUAGCAGACAUUGGGCAAACAUCUUAAAAGUUAUUUUUUUAGCAUAAACCAGCUUUGUUGUUAACCACAAGAAUGUUAUAAAGCAGAUUCUUGGAAAUAAUUAGCAUAAGCUGACCCUUUUCUCGAAAUAGUAAUGAAUAUGUAUCAGUUGAGAAGAUAUAAGUCAAAUCCUGGAACUGUUUGGCGCGCGUCUCGGUGGAGCGGAGACUCCCCGCGUGCCCAG